rnacentral:rRNA from 1 species
CCUACGGGAGGCAGCAGUGAGGAAUAUUGGUCAAUGGGCGCGAGCCUGAACCAGCCAAGUCGCGUGAAGGAUGACUGCCCUACGGGUUGUAAACUUCUUUUAUCAAGGAAUAAAGUGAGGCACUUAUGCCUUUUUGUAUGUACUUUAUGAAUAAGGAUCGGCUAACUCCGUGCCAGCAGCCGAGGUAAUGCGGAGGAUCCGAGCGUUACCCGGAUUUAUUGGGUUUAAAGGGAGCGUAGAGGGGUUGUUAAGUCAGUUGUGAAAGUUUGGGGCUCAACCGUAAAAUUGCAAUUGAUACUGGUAAUCUAGAGGACAGGUGAGGGAGGCGGAAUGCGUGGUGUAGCGGUGAAAUGCGUAGAUAUGUCGAAGAACUCCGAUGGCGAAGGCAGCUUACUAAACAACCACUGACAUUGAGGCGCGAAAGUGUGGGUAGCAAACAGGAUUAGAUACCCGAGUAGUC